rnacentral:rRNA from 1 species
GACGAACGCUGGCGGCGUGCUUAACACAUGCAAGUCGAACGGUAAGGCCCUUCGGGGUACACGAGUGGCGAACGGGUGAGUAACACGUGGGUGAUCUGCCCUGCACUUCGGGAUAAGCCUGGGAAACUGGGUCUAAUACCGGAUAGGACCACUGCCUGCAUGGGUGGUGGUGGAAAGCUUUUGCGGUGUGGGAUGGGCCCGCGGCCUAUCAGCUUGGUGGUGGGGUGAUGGCCUACCAAGGCGACGGCGGGUAGCUGGCCUGGGAGGGUGACCGGCCACACUGGGACUGAGGUACGGCCCAGACUCCUACGGGAGGCAGCAGUGGGGAAUAUUGCACAAUGGGCGCAAGCCUGAUGCAGCGACGCCGCGUGAGGGAUGACGGCGUUCGGGUUGUAAACCUCUUUCAGCACCGACGAAGCGCAAGUGACGGUAGGUGCAGAAGAAGGACCGGCCAACUACGUGCCAGCAGCCGCGGUAA